AUGAACGCUGGCGGCGUGCCUAAUACAUGCAAGUCGAGCGAACAGACGAGGAGCUUGCUCCUCUGACGUUAGCGGCGGACGGGUGAGUAACACGUGGAUAACCUACCUAUAAGACUGGGAUAACUUCGGGAAACCGGAGCUAAUACCGGAUAAUAUAUUGAACCGCAUGGUUCAAUAGUGAAAGACGGUUUUGCUGUCACUUAUAGAUGGAUCCGCGCCGCAUUAGCUAGUUGGUAAGGUAACGGCUUACCAAGGCAACGAUGCGUAGCCGACCUGAGAGGGUGAUCGGCCACACUGGAACUGAGACACGGUCCAGACUCCUACGGGUGGCAGCAGUAGGGAAUCUUCCGCAAUGGGCGAAAGCCUGACGGAGCAACGCCGCGUGAGUGAUGAAGGUCUUCGGAUCGUAAAACUCUGUUAUUAGGGAAGAACAAAUGUGUAAGUAACUAUGCACGUCUUGACGGUACCUAAUCAGAAAGCCACGGCUAACUACGUG
rnacentral:rRNA from 1 species